AUCAAAAGCCCCAGCUCCCAACAUCUAUCUAUACCUAAUGGUUCUAAUCAUAAAGAAAGAACAAAGAACACGAUUCAAAGAGGGAAAAGGAGAAGAGAGGGAGAAGAUAGAAGGGUUCAAAAGGGAAGGGAAGGGUUUCAAUCUCUCUUUCUGGACACUUUGACGGUACGGAAAGACUGGUUUGGCGGCGGUAACGAUCGACGGUUGAUGAUACAGAAGUUAUUAGCUUCCUUCUCUCAAUAGAAAUAAUUCCACUAUGCCUGUGGACGAUGGAGAUGGGCAGUGAACUAUCAAAAACAGAGCCAAGCAAAGGGACAAAUGGCAAGAAACAUUCUCAUAGAAUGCAGGUAAACUUGCACAUUUCUCAUGCUUGUACUUUUGCUUGCUUGCUUUUCUACUCAAGCUUUUGUCAUUAUUGCAUAUGGAUCCCAUCAUCUAUUAAAUUUGAGUAAACAAAUACUUCGUACCAUUGUAUUCCAAUUUUUUUAGGAUAAGGAAAACAGAGCAAGUGGUGAACAUAGGGUGCACAGAGGUGGUGCUUGGAAGAAUUCCCUUCACCAGAAGCCUUAAAGCAUUGAAUUAUUGUUUCAACCAAACCACCAAUAGAAUAUCAGGAAAGGAGUCACCAGACCUUGCAGCUUAGCUGGAUCCUGAUGACAAGAUGAGCUUAGAAAUAAAUUUAUUUCAUCAGCUUAUAAUCUACAAAUGAAAUUUACUUCAUUCUGUUAUAAUUUCUAAGGUUCUCAAUUACUUUAACAUGUUAAAAUUUUGUUAUGGUUAAUAGGACGACAUCGAUCAGGAUGAUGAAGGCAAUGAUGACUGUGAGCAGAAAUCAUGCCAGCUAGGAGCACGUCAAUACAAGCAUCCGAUUGCAAUUCAUGCUGGGAAACCAAAGAAUGGAUUGAAAGAGGCUUUGAGGGCUGGAAUUGGAAAAAUUAAACGUCUUAGUUUGAGUGAAACAACACUUGAAAAGGCAGCAAAAUCUUAUGGAAUUGACCUUGUGAGGUUCACACAGAAGAAUAUUCUGAGGGUAUACCCAAAGUGGACCCGAGUCACCUCCUCAAAUUUCAAUCCACUUACUGGAUGGAUGCAUGAAGCUCAGAUGGUUGCAUUUAAUCUGCAGGUUAGUUUUGAAGUCUUAUGUCUUCAUAAAAUCAUGUUAUUCAUGUUUUUUUGGUGAGCUUUGGUAAUAUUUUCUCUAUUUCUUAAUCUUGUGUGGUUUGAUUAGUUAAUGAUGUAGAAUGCAAGUUCAGUUAAAAAAAUGGCUUAAAUAUAUGGAGUGGGAAAAUAUUACUUUUUAGGAUUGAUUUCUAGUUUUUUAUUCUAUUUUUGCUAUUGACAUCUAUGUAAAGCUUAUAUUAUACACUAUGGUCUCUAGAUAACUUGGAAUUUUUCUAAUUCUAUCUUUUUCAUUUUGUUAGUUCAAUUUCAUCCUAUUACAAUGUAAUGUAACAGCAUUGAAAAUAAAAAAUAAAAAAUGACUACAUUGCAGCUUCUAGUAGUAGCAUAAUAUUACAUAGAAUGUCAAAUUUGAGUCACAUGACGUGAUUUGUUUAAUGUUAAUAUUCUUAUAGAGGUUAAUAUUCAACCAAUAUCUUGGGAAUCUGGG